rnacentral:rRNA from 1 species
GAUGAACGCUGGCGGCGUGCCUAAUACAUGCAAGUCGAGCGAACAGAUGAGGAGCUUGCUCCUCUGACGUUAGCGGCGGACGGGUGAGUAACACGUGGAUAACCUACCUAUAAGACUGGGAUAACUUCGGGAAACCGGAGCUAAUACCGGAUAAUAUAUUGAACCGCAUGGUUCAAUAGUGAAAGACGGUUUUGCUGUCACUUAUAGAUGGAUCCGCGCCGCAUUGGCUAGUUGGUAAGGUAACGGCUUACCAAGGCAACGAUGCGUAGCCGACCUGAGAGGGUGAUCGGCCACACUGGAACUGAGACACGGUCCAGACUCCUACGGGAGGCAGCAGUAGGGAAUUUUCCGCAAUGGGCGAAAGCCUGACGGAGCAACGCCGCGUGAGUGAUGAAGGUCUUCGGAUCGUAAAACUCUGUUAUUAGGGAAGAACAAAUGUGUAAGUAACUAUGCACGUCUUGACGGUACCUAAUCAGAAAGCCACGGCUAACUACGUG